UACGGGGGGGGCAAGCGUUGUUCGGAAUUACUGGGCGUAAAGCGCACGUAGGCGGAUUUGUAAGUCAGGGGUGAAAUCCCGGGGCUCAACCUCGGAACUGCCUUUGAUACUGCAAAUCUCGAGUCCGAUAGAGGUGGGUGGAAUUCCUAGUGUAGAGGUGAAAUUCGUAGAUAUUAGGAAGAACACCGGUGGCGAAGGCGGCCCACUGGAUCGGUACUGACGCUGAGGUGCGAAAGCGUGGGGAGCAAACAGG
rnacentral:rRNA from 1 species